rnacentral:rRNA from 1 species
UACGAAGGGGGCUAGCGUUGCUCGGAAUCACUGGGCGUAAAGGGUGCGUAGGCGGGCCGUCAAGUCCGGGGUGAAAUCCUCCGGCUCAACCGGAGAACAGCUUUUGAUACUGGCGGCCUCGAGGGGGGUAGGGGCAUGUGGAACUUCCGGUGGAGCGGUGAAAUGCGUAGAUAUCUGGAGGAACACCGGUGGCGAAGGCGGCAUCCUGGACCAAUUCUGACGCUGAGGAGCGAAAGCCAGGGGAGCAAACGGG